AGGUCAAGUAGGCCUUCAAAAUGUCAUGUAUGCCACUCAAAUAUUAUUUAAUCCUGAUCUCUCCGAAGUUGUUGAGUUCAGGCAGAGUAUGGUUGAGCAAGGUGUCAAUGGUACCCAGCCACUGUUUAUUGCAAAUGAGGGUAAAUUGUCUCCUUGGAAGAUGAUUUAAUGCGUUUAACUAGAAAAUGCACUAUUGAAGAGCUUCAACAAUGAGGUUAUCUUCCUUUGAGGAGGGUUCUUUUAUCAUUUUUGGUACAAUCCAAUGUAUUGUUGAAGAUGGAGGUUGGUGGUAUUCUGCUUGUGUGUGUCAAAAGGGUAUCUAUCCUCAAAAUGGUGCAUAUUACUAUGAUUUCUGUUUGAAGCAUAUAACUAAUGUCACUCCAAGAUUUAAACUUAAAAUAACAGUUGAUGAUCAUAGUGGGGAGGGUAUUUUCCUCCUCUUUGAUCGUGAGGCAUCUUAUUUGCUUAAGAAAUCAUGUGCUGACUUGUUUACUGAGGUUCAAAGAGAUGCAAGUCUUGUAUGUGGGGAUACUUAUCCUCCCAUAUUCCAAGGGCUCAUUGGAAAGAAGUUACUGCUGAAGGUUGAUACCAAAGGUGUCCCACAUGAUACAUUUUAUGGCACUUUCCGAGUUAGGAGAAUAUGUGAUGAUCCCACCAUUAUUGCCAUGUUUGAACUUCCCAAUUAUGAUGCUGAUGAUGAGUCUACUCCAAAACGGUUACAUAUACAUAUAAUUAUCCUUAGAUUGUGUAAAUUCAUGUUUUGUUCCUUCUUUUUUUAUUCUGCUGUGGUAAAUUUUUCUUAUGGUGUAAUGUAUCUUUAAACUCUUAUGCCAUGUGAAUAGGAUCCUGAUUUAUACAAAUCUGUUUCGUGUGGAAAAGGGGAUAUUGGUAUUAAGGAGGAGUCAUCAAAGACUUGUAUCAAAAGUGAAAAAGUUGCUGAGGGACUGAGUUUGCUGCCUUAGUCAAUGGUGAAGAUGGGAAAGAUGAGAAAACACCCAGUAAUGAUACUGUUAGUGAUGAUCUUUCCGUUGAACUGGAUAUAUUGCUUAGCUCACCAGAAAAGGAAACUCAGGAGGUGCUGUCCCACGUUCUCCAUGCACGUUGCCAAUAUGAAGAAAAGCUUACUCAUGAAAAUGAUGUUGUCACCUCCAAGGGCAAGAGGAAUUUGAAUCCCCAAUUUGAAGAGGCGGCUACUGUUGCAGAUGGGCGUGGGUCCAAGGUUGCCAAGGUUAAUAGGGUGUGAUUGAAGGUGUGGAAUUGAGCUGCUAUGUGUAGGUCUGAAAUUGAGGGACCUGAGCAAAAAUCUAAUUCAGAGGCUGACAAAGGACUGCUGAUGUUGUUGGAUUCUGACCUCCCUGCACUCGAAGUGGAUUUUCUAGAGCUACAAAACUCCAAAUGGCACGCUCUCAAUUGAGUUGGAAAGUAGACAUCUAGGGCUUUCCAGAAAUAUAUAAUAAUCCAUACUUUGCUUGGGUUUUGACGAUGCAAACUGGCAUUCAAACGCCCCUUCGAAGUCAAAACGCCAGAACUGGCAUAAAAGCUGGAGUUAAACGCCCAAACUGGCACAAAACCUGGCGUUUAACUCUAAGGAAGACCUCUACACGUGUAAAGCUCAAUGCUCAGCCAAAGCACACACCAAGUGGGCCCGGAAGUGGAUUUCUGCAUCAUUUACCUAUUUCUGUAAACCCUAGUAGCUAGUUUCAUUAUAAAUAGGAUCUUUUACUAUUGUAUUUUCAUCCGAGAAUCUUUUGAUCAUCUUUUGAUCUCUUGAUCACAUUUUGGGGGCUGGCCUCGCGGCCAUGCCUACCUUCAUCACUUAUGUAUUUUCAAUGGUGGAGUUUCUACACACCAUAGAUUAAGGUGUGGAGCUCUGCUGUUCCUCGAGUAUU